ensembl:snoRNA SNORA63 Small nucleolar RNA SNORA63
AUGCAGGUACAGUUACAAUAUAACUCAAGAGUUUUAUAGUAGUUUCCCCUUCUUAAAGCAUUUGAAAUAUUACUAUCUGUCUAGUUCCAUUCCAUAAGACAGAGGUUCUUGAUAUCAAAUUU